rnacentral:rRNA from 1 species
GAUGAACGCUGGCGGCGUGCCUAAUACAUGCAAGUCGAGCGAACAGACGAGGAGCUUGCUCCUCUGACGUUAGCGGCGGAAGGGUGAGUAACACGUGGAUAACCUACCUAUAAGAAUGGGAUAACUUCGGGAAACAGGAGCUAAUACCGGAUAAUAUAUUGAACAGCAUGGUUCAAUAGUGAAAGACGGUUUUGCUGUCACUUAUAGAUGGAUCCGCGGCGCAUUAGCUAGUUGGUAAGGUAACGGCUUACCAAGGCAACGAUGCGUAGCCGGCCUGAGAGGGUGAUCAGCCACACUGGAACUGAGACACGGUCCAGACUCCUACGGGAGGCAGCAGUAGGGAAUCUUCCGCAAUGGGCGAAAGCCUGACGGAGCAACGCCGCGUGAAUGAUGAAGGUCUUCGGAUCGUAAAACUCUGUUAUUAGGGAAGAACAAAUGUGUAAGUAACUAUGCACGUCUUGACGGUACCGUAUCAGAAAGCCACGGCUAACUACGUG